rnacentral:rRNA from 1 species
UACGUAGGGCGCGAGCGUUGUCCGGAAUUAUUGGGCGUAAAGAGCUCGUAGGCGGUCUGUUGCGUCCGCUGUGAAAACUCGGGGCUUAACCCCGAGCCUGCAGUGGAUACGGGCAGACUAGAGGUAGGUAGGGGAGAAUGGAAUUCCCGGUGUAGCGGUGAAAUGCGCAGAUAUCGGGAGGAACACCGGUGGCGAAGGCGGUUCUCUGGGCCUUACCUGACGCUGAGGAGCGAAAGCGUGGGGAGCGAACAGG